CUCUGUUUCACAUGGUGAUUCAGGGCAAAAGAG
rnacentral:ncRNA from 1 species